UCCGGUGUAACUCAGUGGUAGAGUGCUCGCCUGUUAAGCGAAGAGUCGUAGGUUCGAAUCCUAUCACCGGAGCCA
rnacentral:tRNA from 2 species